GGUUACUGGUGCAAGAUUAAAAAUCAAGAACAUUGGAUCAGACAUGGAUGCAAUCAAAAAUAUGAUUUUGAGUCUGGAUGAAAAGAUGGAUUCAAUUGAAGCAAAACAGUAGGCUCUUCAACUAGAACUGUUCUUUCAUUGCUUAGAUAUUUUGUCUCAUUUUACUCUCAGACAGUGGACGUAAAGGAUUAUGUUGUUUCGGUGUGCACUUGCGCUACCACUUCUUUUAUUAGUAUUAGAGAAGCAUUAGUACUUUCUUGGACUGGGCAUUAGCAAAUUUAGUAGGCUAGUAUCUCAGUGCCCUUGUUGGUAUGCUGCGCUGUGAGGACAUGACCGCUUCAUUUUCUUUUCAACCUAGACGUCGUGGACAACAAAAGAAAAGAUUACGAUGUUCUGUCACAAAGUCAUUUUUUAUUUGAGUAAAAAUAAUGAACAAAGUAUCCUUGCAGAUUUGAGUACAUGUCACGCAGGUCUGGCAAAUGACACUCAGGUGCCCAAAGCAAAGCCGUACUUGAUAUACUAAAAACCUUCUACUGCCGUAUUGCUUGUUCGCUCUGCUUUAGGAUUUCGUUAUCUUUCCUCCGCAAUGAUACAAAUAAAGUGCAAUAAACUACUGUUUCUUCCGUGAUGACUAAUGAUAGUAUCAACAGAAUUAUUCGUGUGCCGCUGUGGGGUAUCUCUGCCGAUUCACAGAAGACGCAGAUGGGAGGCUGCCGGAACACCUGGAAGGAUUGCAACGAACGGUUCGGCGAUUUGGGAGAAUAAUAACAAAGAGCUGCCGGGGCUGGGAUUUGGGCAACUGCUGCCUGCUGGCGAUAGAAUCGGCGAAUCCUGGCGAAGGAAGAAUGCUUCGGUCAAGGCUGCAGGUUGAAUUCUGCCUUGAUCUACCAAGGCGACGGAUAAGUUUACCCACGACCUGCCAAAAUUUCGCACAGGGGAGGAAGAGCUAACAUGUGUAAAGCUUGGAUAAAAUUGAUUACAUGUCUUAAAUUUGAUCAAUCUUUAAUAAUAUUUUCGAAGUAGAUUAUUUUUUAUCAAAUAUCUCGUAUGAACUAGUUUGUAAUAAAAUUAGAAUAUAUGAUCUAGAUAUGAUUAAUUUUAAAUAUAUUAUUAAAGGUUGUUCAAUUUUAGGACGUAUAAUCAUAUUUCCUAGAGUACUAGUUAACAGCUGAUGUGGCACAUUUUUUUAAAAUUUUAGUUCAUUGGUUUGGGGAUCCAAUCUGGCCGCUUUGAUAGGGUUGCAAUCUCCCGAAUCCUAUAUGCAACUUAUCUAUUUCUCGUCCCGCGUGUGUUUAUUUGCACUAAUCUUUCAAACACUGUUUGCUGAGUUUUCACGAUGGCAGUAGUGAAACCAUCAUCUUAACUCUCCCGGAAUCACGAUUUGCUAAAUGCAGCUUAUGAUACUCUUAAAUCGACAAGCUGUAAUAUCUAGUAACACAAAAUUUGAUUCGUUCAAGCAAACAUGCAACCAAUGACACGUCCAUGUCCAUUGUACAAGGUGA